rnacentral:rRNA from 1 species
UACGGAGGGAGCUAGCGUUGUUCGGAAUUACUGGGCGUAAAGCGCGCGUAGGCGGCUUUGUAAGUUAGAGGUGAAAGCCCGGGGCUCAACUCCGGAAUUGCCUUUAAGACUGCAUCGCUAGAAUCCGGGAGAGGUGAGUGGAAUUCCGAGUGUAGAGGUGAAAUUCGUAGAUAUUCGGAAGAACACCAGUGGCGAAGGCGGCUCACUGGACCGGUAUUGACGCUGAGGAGCGAAAGCCAGGGGGAGCAAAACGGG